UUCGAGAUCUUCUACUGACAAGAUGUUUACUAGGCUGCAUAUUCAAGCACGGGAAGACAUGAUCCGGUAUCAUGUCACUCCUGCUGCGAGUUUAUGGCCGUCGCUGGUUGAGGAAUCCGACUGUGUAUGUAUUUCAUCUAGCAUUCGGCGGAAUAGUUUGCUUCUGUUGCCCAUGUGUCGAUGUCGUGUUACACGUAACAAUGCACGUGACUUUUCUCACUAUCCAUUAUUGUGUCUUGAAAAUAGCGCAAUAACGCCCCUCUCCCAUUUUCGCAUUUCCAUUUUGUUUUCGACCAGCAUGUUUGUUGUGGCAUACCAUCUCAUUUCAUGUGUAAUGUGUGGCUAUCACUCUAGUUUCUUUUGCCCUUUUUUACUUGAACACAUCCCAUAAACCUCGCCCACUUACCCUCCUAUAUCCCUCCCUCCCCCAUCACUGAUGUAGCGUCCCCAGGCUGCGUCCUCGACCCCCUCUCCCGACCCCGUGAGUGUUUUCACCCCAUUCUGGGCCCGCCCUGACCACGGUGAGACGCUCCCUGCCCCAGUCACGAUCACCUACGUCGAUUAUUAUCCUGCCCCUAGUGACGACGACAGUGACUACUGGGUCUAUGAGGACGAGGACGAUGACAGCUUCAUGGAGGACCGAGAAGUUCAUCCUCUGAGGAAGGCACUGAGGAGAGUGGCUGCCUUCUGGAGGAGAAUCUUCUCGUAGAUUUCUCAUCCAGUGUGUGUGUAUGUGUGUGCGUUUGUAUGUAUGUUUGAGAGUAUGUUUGUAUGUGUGAGAGGUUGUGUUUUGCAUGUUUGAUUGGGUGUAUGUGUGAAUGUGUGAGAGGAUGUGGUUUUUAUGUUUCAUGUGUGGUUGGUUGUAUGUGUGACAGGAUGUGUUUUGCACGUGAGUUGGGUGCAAGAGUGUGUCUGUGUGUGAGAUGAUUUUCUUGUACUUGGGAGUGGGUGUAUGUGUGAUGAUUAGUUUUGCAAGUGUGUCCGCGUAUCGGUGUGCGUGUGUGUAUGAGAGAGAGGGAGAGAGAGAGUAUGGAUUGGUGUCUGUCUAUCUAAGAAAACAUUUCUCCAUUUUGGUCUUUUUUGGCUUCACCCUUUUGGCGCUUUUUUGGACACACGUUCUUGAUCUAGUUUUCAAUGUUUUGGCAUACUCUUUGGCUGAUCUUUCGAAGUUUAUUUCUCUUCUUAUUAGAGGACAUUUUUUGUGCUCAUCUUUUGGCCCUGAUUUAGAGAAUACUAUCUUUAGGCACAUGCCUUUCUAUUUCUAAAUCAUAUAUUAAUAAAUAUUGAUGAAUGGUA